AAAACCACUACACUUACAACACAAACAAGAAGCCAAGAACCAUCAUCAUCAUCGAUCGCGGCUUCCCAGCAGCCGAUCGAUGCCGAUUGCGCGCUUACUCUCGCGAGUGCGUGAUCUCCCAGCUAACCGUACGCACAUAAGGCACGUAUGCACUAGAUAUUGGGCAAUUUCAAAACCGAAGGCCGAUCGUUGGAUGAUUACCCUAGCACAAAACACAACAUGCACAUCCACCGAUUAUGUUUAUGCUCAUCAUCACAUCAACAUACCGGACCGACAUCAACCAUGCCAGCAUCAAACUAAUUUCCCGUUGGGGAAAUCAAGUCGAGCAGCCACCCUGGCGACGCCCCGGUACUCACUCUCCAAUCUCUUAUCGGCCGACGCCAACUAGAGCCGUGAGUGAUAAAGCGAGGCGCGAUCGGUCAGGCAAUAUAGCCGAUCGUCGCCCGCGGAUCAUCAUCAGUCACUGGUUUAUCGUAAAGGAGACCGCGUCGAUCGUCAACCCGAUAUAUUUUCCGCCAGACGAUCGACCUGAAGAAGAAGUUUAGUUCGAGGAAUUUCUGUGGUGAAAACCGUCUCACCAGUGAGGAAGAACAAGGCGUGGAAUAAUAACCGCACUGGAGUGCGAGGUGCCGCGACACCGUAAAUUGGUCGUGGUGGAGAGUGAGGUGGCGUCUACGAUCAGCAUGGAAAGCAUGGCCAUGCUGGAGUAGAUAGGAGUACUUGAGAUCGGCCUUCAUUUCCUGUUUCACAAGCUGAAUUCCAUCAUGGCUGGAGCCGUGGUGUGGAGCAGUGCGCUGCUGUGCAUUCCUGCCGACUGGACGGCGGGGCUAAUGCACCGGAUGGCCGGCGUUCUCGCCGGUGACCAAGCUGGGUUCUGCCCGGGCAGCAACGUUGUUCCGGAUCGUCGAGGGAUACACGGGGAUCACACACACACACACAGGUUUACACCCGCAACUCUAGUUUUAAGGACGCCAAC
rnacentral:lncRNA from 1 species